rnacentral:rRNA from 1 species
GUGGGGAAUCUUGCGCAAUGGGCGAAAGCCUGACGCAGCCAUGCCGCGUGAAUGAUGAAGGUCUUAGGAUUGUAAAAUUCUUUCACCGGGGACGAUAAUGACGGUACCCGGAGAAGAAGCCCCGGCUAACUUCGUGCCAGCAGCCGCGGUAAUACGAAGGGGGCUAGCGUUGCUCGGAAUUACUGGGCGUAAAGGGCGCGUAGGCGGACAGUUUAGUCAGAGGUGAAAGCCCAGGGCUCAACCUUGGAAUUGCCUUUGAUACUGGCUGUCUUGAGUACGGGAGAGGUGAGUGGAACUCCGAGUGUAGAGGUGAAAUUCGUAGAAAUUCGGAAGAACACCAGUGGCGAAGGCGACUCACUGGCCCGUUACUGACGCUGAGGCGCGAAAGCGUGGGGAGCAAACAGGAUUAGAUACCCGAGUAGUCC